rnacentral:tRNA from 1 species
AGCUUCGUGAUGUAGCGGUUAGCACUCUGGACUCUGAAUCCAGAGACCCGAGUUCGAGUCUCAGAGAGGCCU